rnacentral:rRNA from 1 species
AACAUGCAAGUCGAACGGUAACGGGCCUUCGGGUGCCGACGAGUGGCGAACGGGUGAGUAAUGUAUCGGAACGUACCUUUCAGUGGGGGAUAACGUAGCGAAAGUUACGCUAAUACCGCAUAUUCUGUGCGCAGGAAAGCAGGGGAUCGCAAGACCUUGCGCUGAUUGAGCGGCCGAUAUCAGAUUAGCUAGUUGGUGAGGUAAAGGCUCACCAAGGCGACGAUCUGUAGCGGGUCUGAGAGGAUGAUCCGCCACACUGGAACUGAGACACGGUCCAGACUCCUACGGGAGGCAGCAGUGGGGAAUUUUGGACAAUGGGGGCAACCCUGAUCCAGCCAUGCCGCGUGAGUGAAGAAGGCCUUCGGGUUGUAAAGCUCUUUCGGCCGGGAAGAAAUCGUACCAGCUAAUACCUGGUGCGGAUGACGGUACCGGCAUAAGAAGCACCGGCUAACUACGUGCCAGCAGCCGCGGUAAUACGUAGGGUGCGAGCGUUAAUCGGAAUUACUGGGCGUAAAGCGUGCGCAGGCGGUUUUGUAAGACAGGCGUGAAAUCCCCGGGCUCAACCUGGGAACUGCGUUUGUGACUGCAAGGCUAGAGUACGGCAGAGGGGGGUGGAAUUCCACGUGUAGCAGUGAAAUGCGUAGAGAUGUGGAGGAACACCAAUGGCGAAGGCAGCCCCCUGGGUCGAUACUGACGCUCAUGCACGAAAGCGUGGGUAGCAAACAGGAUUAGAUACCCUGGUAGUCCACGCCCUAAACGAUGUCAACUAGUGUUGGGUGGGUAAAACCAUUUAGUACCGGAGCUAACGCGUGAAGUUGACCGCCUGGGGAGUACGCCGCAAGGUUAAACUCAAAGGAAUUGACCGGACCCGCACAAGCGGUGGAUGAUGUGGAUUAAUUCGAUGCACGCGAAAACCUUACCUACCU